UGCAAAUUUUUUGAGCGCGUCGUUUGAAAACUCAUCUGAAUCGUAUAUUCAUCGAGAUGUUUAUGCUGCUGUGUUAAAGACGUUUUGAGCGUAUUUACUCAACUAUUUUUGUACUUCUAAAUAUCCUGAACAACAACGGACUCCAAUAAGGAAAUUUCAAGGCAAUUGGUUGUGGUAUUAUCUCAGAAACAUCUUGAGAAGCCAAAUGACGUAUUCUACUUUACUGCGAUCACUUCAGGAAGCUGUGGUCAAAGAAAAUAUCAUUGCAAUAAUAGGUAAAGUGGAAGUGAAAUGUGCAAGAACAAAUUGGUCCAUGGUAUGGCUGGCAAAUUUCAAUCAGGAAUGCCAAAAAUUGUGCCAAGAAGUAUGUAUUGGUUCUUUCGAACAGGAUAGAAACAAGAAACAAGAUUAGCUGCACAGAGAAUCAGGGUUGAUGACUCCAUAUACAGAUGAGGACAUACAAAUAAUAAAAAAUGGCCAUGGAAGAACAUGCUGGGAAGUGAGUUUUUGUGGAUAAAUUUAUACGAACUUGACAUUACUUGUUGAAAAUUGUAAUGUUGCAUUAUAAGAACUUGACAUUGAUUGUCGAAAAUUGUAAAUAAUUGUCUGGUUGUUUUUUGUAAAUAGUCCUACAGGAGCAAUUGUAAAUAUGCAACUGUGACCAAAUAUAUUGAUUUUUU